rnacentral:rRNA from 1 species
CCUACGGGAGGCAGCAGUAGGGAAUCUUUCACAAUGGGCGAAAGCCUGAUGGAGCAACGCCGCGUGCAGGAUGAAGGCCUUCGGGUUGUAAACUGCUUUUAUAAGCGAGAAAUAUGAUGGUAACUUAUGAAUAAGGAUCGGCUAACUACGUGCCAGCAGCCGCGGUCAUACGUAGGAUCCGAGCAUUAUCCGGAGUGACUGGGUGUAAAGAGUUGCGUAGGUGGCAUAAUAAGUAGCUAGUGAAAUCUGGUGGCUCAACCAUUCAGACUAUUAGCGAAACUGUUAAGCUCGAGACCGUUAGGGGUAACUGGAAUUUCUGGUGUAGGAGUGAAAUCCGUAGAUAUUAGAAGGAACACCAAUAGCGUAGGCAGGUUGCUGGGACGGUUCUGACACUAAGGCACGAAAGCGUAGGGAGCAAACGGGAUUAGAUACCCCUGUAGUC